GAUGAAGAACGUAGCGAAAUGCGAUAAGUAAUGUGAAUUGCAGAAUUCAGUGAAUCAUCGAAUCUUUGAACGCACAUUGCGCCCCUUGGUAUUCCGAGGGGCAUGCCUGUUCGAGCGUCAUUAUCACCCCUCAAGCCCUCGGCUUGGUGUUGGACGGUUUGGUGGAGGCCCCCUCGGGGGCUCCUGCCCCUCCCAAAGACAAUGACGGCGGCCUCGUUGGACCCCCGGUACACUGAGUUCUUCACGGGACACGUAUCGGACACAUGGGUUUACGGGACACGGUCUGCCUCCCCUCAGGGAGAAUCUUUCUAAGGUUGACCUCGGAUCAGGUAGGGAUACCCGCUGAACUUAAGCAUAUCAAUAAGCGGAGGA
rnacentral:misc_RNA from 1 species